rnacentral:rRNA from 1 species
CAAUGGACGAAAGUCUGAUGCAGCAUGCCGCGUGCAGGAGAGGCCUUCGGGUUGUAACUGCUUUUGUCAGGGAAGAAUCCUUUGGGCUAAUACCUCGGAGGGAUGACGGUACCUGAAGAAUAAGCACCGGCUAACUACGUGCCAGCAGCCGCGGUAAUACGUAGGGUGCGAGCGUUAAUCGG